rnacentral:rRNA from 1 species
CCAGACUCCUACGGGAGGCAGCAGUGGGGAAUAUUGCACAAUGGGGGAAACCCUGAUGCAGCGACGCCGCGUGAGCGAUGAAGUAUUUCGGUAUGUAAAGCUCUAUCAGCAGGGAAGAAAAUGACGGUACCUGACUAAGAAGCCCUGGCUAACUACGUGCCAGCAGCCGCGGUAAUACGUAGGGGGCAAGCGUUAUCCGGAUUUACUGGGUGUAAAGGGAGCGUAGACGGCGGUGCAAGCCAGAUGUGAAAGCCCGGGGCUCAACCCCGGGACUGCAUUUGGAACUGUGCUGCUAGAGUGUCGGAGAGGCAGGCGGAAUUCCUAGUGUAGCGGUGAAAUGCGUAGAUAUCAGGAGGAACACCGGUGGCGAAGGCGGCCUGCUGGACUGCGACUGACGUUGAGGCCCGAAAGCGUGGGGAGCAAACAGGAUUAGAUACCCUUGUA